CGACCUCAGAUCAGGCGGGACUACCCGCCGGAUUUAAGCAUAUUAAUAAGCGGAGGAAAAGAAAACAACCGUGAUUCCCUUAGUAGCGGCGAGCGAACCGGGAAAAGCCCAUCGCCGAAUCUCGCCGCGCACUUUUUGUGUCGCGGCACGUAUGAGAGUUGUGGCGUACGGGCCCGGCCUUCGUUUGCCCGGGGCGCACGUGACGGUCCAAGUCUCCCUUGAACGGGGCCAUGGCCCGCAGAUGGUGCCAGGCCAGUAGAGGCCGUCACAGCGUUCCGGGAUCGGACCGCGCCUUCGAGUCGGGUUGCUUGAGAGUGC
rnacentral:ncRNA from 1 species